rnacentral:lncRNA from 1 species
AGUGUUUUUCCCUUUCCUAGAAUCGCUUUAACACUCAAUUUAGUUCCCAAUACCAACUGUUGAUUGAUGAAGAAACAUGGAUGGUGUGGAAGAAUUUGAAAAGUUGUAUUGUUUGAGAGUUUGAAAGGACAAGGAGAAUAGAGUUUAAAAAAAAGAAUUAUUAAAAAUAUUUAUAAAGGAUUUUUUAAAUAUUUUUUAAAUGAUUUUGUAUAGAAUAAUAAGAGAGUGUUUAUCAUUGACAUAUUUUUAAUUUUCAAAAUAUUAUGACAACAUAGAUUGUAUUUUAAUAAUUUGUCAAUACUCUCUAAAACCUUCCAAAUCCAUCUCCAAUAUAACUUUUUAGCUCCUCAAAUUAGAGGAAUUUUGGAAUUUGAAUGAGAAUAAAUCCUCAAAAACCCUCCCCACCUAAAUCCCCCAUGUCUUUUUAUUCAAUCGUUCUCUUUUUUCAAAGCACACGUCUCCCUCCACCUCCAAACUCCCAACAAAUCCCAAGAGUAUAUUUGGAUUGAUGGUAUGGAAUAGAAUGAAGUGAUAAAUAAUGAGAUUUUAUUGUUUGAAUUUACAAAUAAUUGAUGGAGUGAGAUGAGACAUGAUAUCUAUUCCAUCAUAUUUCAUAUAAUUCUUCAAUUUUCAUUUCAUCAAAUGCAAUGGAAUUUGUUCGAUUUUGUUCCGUCAAAUUAUACAAAAUACACAAAUAAUAAAAUGAAAUUUAUGUUCCAUUCCGCCCCACUCAACUAUAUUCCAUCAUGUUUUAUUUCGCUCUAAAAAAGUAUUUUUUAGGUGGAAAAUAAUUUUUAGGUAGAGCAAAAGUGGACUCACGCACUUUUUUUAACUACUUUCAAAACACUAUCAUAUGCUUAAACCAAUAGCGAUUCAAUAGUUUGUCUUGAUUCUAGGGUUGAUGGCGAUUUAUGGUUUUGUUUCUAUGUUGUUAUUCUAUGAUCUAUUGAUGAUGAUUUUGAUAGUCUGAGAUCCAAUCUAAAUCAUGGAUGAGAUUUCUAAGUGCGCAUGUGUUAUACCUAUGUAUUCCUUCUUUGUUUGAGAGUUUGGAAGAAAAGAGAUGAGAUGACUUUGAAAAAUAGGAAGAAUUGAAUGAAAAAAAAAUAGAAAGAUUUUGAUUGGGAGGAUUUGUAUUUAUUCAUAAAACCAAAAUCUCAUAACUUGGAAGAAUUCAAAAUUUGUAUUGAAAAAGAAUUUUGGAAAAUUUUAGAAAACUUAGACAAAUUAUUCAAAUAUAAUUUUUGUUGUUAAAGUAUUAAAAAAAUUAAAAAAAUAUUCACAAUAAAUAUUAUUUUAUCAUUUUAAAUAAAAUAUUUUUCUUAAAAAACUUAUAUAUUUAUUUAUAUUUUAAUUUUUUUCUUUCCAAUCCCUCGUUUACCUUCUCACUAAACUGAAAAAAAAGUCCAAUUUUGUUUCCUUAUUUUUUAGUUUUUCCUUUUUGUGUAUCAUUUGUUUCUGUUGUUAACUAAUGCUUCUCAUGAAACAACUUUAUCUUCGAUUAGGUGUUAGUUUAGUUCAUUUUAUUUCAACUACUUCUAUAUAACAAAAUUAAAAUAUAACUUUAGAAAUAAAUAAAUCUUUUUAACACAAUAAAAUAUACAAUUUGAAAAUUUCAAGUUUAUAUUGCCAUUAAUAUUUUAUUCCAUUCCAUUUAAUAUUUAUGAAUUGAGAUACUACAAAUGUGGAUUCUUAUGUUUGUUUGCUUUAGCAAAUUUAAUUUUUUUCAAAAUUUUUAAAUUAUUAAAUUAUACUUUAUUUUUAUAUGUAUUUAUUAAAAAAGCGGAAAGAAGUGCCAUCUGAACACUAGUAAAAAUAAAUGCGUGGCUGGAUAUGAUUCGGAGUAGUGAAGGCAGAUAUUAAUUGAUAGAUUUGAGCACUACAUAAACCUCUCAUCGCCUCUCCCUUCCUCAUCCUCAAUCUCCUCCGCCUUCAUCAUUUCCAGACACCAUUUUCAUUUCAUCUCUCUCCCCAUGGAAGGAUCUGGAGUUGUUACCGUCUAUGGCAACGGCGCCCUCACCGAAACAACCAAGAAAUCCUCUCCUUUCUCCGUCAAAGUCGGCCUCGCCCAAAUGCUCCGCGGCGGCGUCAUUAUGGACGUUGUCAACGCCGAACAAGCCCGCAUCGCUGAAGAAGCCGGUGCCUGCGCCGUCAUGGCUCUCGAACGUGUCCCCGCCGACAUCCGCGCCCAAGGCGGCGUCGCUCGUAUGAGCGACCCUCAGCUCAUCAAAGAAAUCAAACAAGCCGUCACUAUCCCCGUCAUGGCCAAGGCCCGUAUCGGUCACUUCGUUGAAGCUCAGAUCCUCGAAGCUAUCGGAAUCGAUUACGUCGAUGAGAGUGAGGUUCUAACCCUAGCUGAUGAAGAUAAUCACAUCAACAAACAUAACUUCCGUAUCCCUUUCGUUUGCGGUUGCCGGAACCUCGGUGAAGCUCUCCGUCGUAUCAGAGAGGGAGCUGCCAUGAUUCGUACCAAAGGUGAAGCCGGGACCGGUAACAUCAUUGAAGCUGUUAGACAUGUUAGGUCUGUUCUCGGUGAUAUUAGGGUUCUUGCAAACAUGGAUGACGACGAGGUUUUCACUUUCUCCAAGAAAAUUGCUGCUCCUUAUGAUCUUGUUAUGCAGACGAAGCAACUCGGGAGGCUUCCGGUUGUUCAGUUUGCCGCCGGUGGUGUUGCUACACCGGCUGAUGCAGCGUUGAUGAUGCAGCUUGGUUGUGAUGGUGUGUUUGUUGGUUCUGGUGUUUUCAAGAGCGGCGACCCGGCGAAACGGGCUCGAGCGAUUGUUCAGGCUGUUACUCAUUACAGUGAUCCUGAGGUUUUGGCCGAGGUUAGUUGUGGAUUGGGUGAAGCUAUGGUUGGGCUUAACUUGACUGAUCAUAAUGUCGAGAGGUUCGCGAAUCGGUCUGAAUGAAUGAAUGGAUUCACUAAAGGUUCUCUUUUGCAUGGAAAUUUCUAUCUGAAAGGGUUUUAUCUUAUCUUAUUUUACUAGUUUUUUUUAGUUGUUUCUUAUAUUUGAUUUUAAUAAGGUUAUCAUGUUUUUGCUUCUUAUGUUUUUGAACUGUCUUAGAUGGAAGAAAGAAAACAAAAGAAAAAAAGAAAAGAAGAAGCUAGCCUUCCGUGGCUUGUAAUAUGCUGAUACUUGUUUUAGACAUCCAAGGUUAUUAUAGUGUUUAAACUAGUAUGUUGAGUCUGUGGAUUCAUCAUGAACUAGAACCAUUCUUGUUUGAGUAUUGAAUUCUAUUGUCAUGUUGAGUCUGUGGAUUCAUCAUGAACUAGAACCAUUCUUGUUUGAGUAUUGAAUUCUAUUAGUUGAGUCUGUGGAUUCAUCAUGAACUAGAACCAUUCUUGUUUGAGUAUUGAAUUCUAUUGUCAUGUUGAGUCUGUGGAUUCAUCAUGAACUAGAACCAUUCUUGUUUGAGUAUUGAAUUCUAUUGUUAUGUUGGAUCUAUUGUCUUUUUUAAUAAGUUAAUAUUGGAUGUUAAUCUUUGCUCAAUUGGAUUGUGUUUCAAGCCA